rnacentral:misc_RNA from 1 species
AAAAGCUCAACAAUUUUCAAUUAUGCAUUUAGUCUAUUCUCUAUAAGGCCAUACACUUUUUUCUGUAAUAAUAUCAAACCAUGCACUCAAUUCAAGCAAGAAUCAUGCAUUUUUUUUUCCAAAUAAACAACCCAUAAUUGAUUGACUAAAAUUUUAGAUAAACAAUUCGAGUAAAUAAAAUGCAUUUAUAUCAGGGGUAGUAAUUUAUUUAUUUUUUUUACAUUUUUAUAAA